rnacentral:rRNA from 1 species
UACAGAGACUGCAAGCGUUAUUCGGAUUCACUGGGCGUAAAGGGCGCGUAGGCGGCCAUCUAAGUCGGACGUGAAAUCCCUCGGCUUAACCGAGGAACUGCGUCCGAUACUGGAAGGCUUGAAUCCGGGAGAGGGAUGUGGAAUUCCAGGUGUAGCGGUGAAAUGCGUAGAUAUCUGGAGGAACACCGGUGGCGAAGGCGGCAUCCUGGACCGGCAUUGACGCUGAGGCGCGAAAGCUAGGGGAGCAAACGGG